rnacentral:misc_RNA from 1 species
GUUGAUUGCGGAAAAUCCGUGCUCGGCCACACGGAAGGAAGCAUCUAUUAAGGAACAGGAAGUUUAGAAUACAAGGCCUUAGGAAAUCGAUCCACAGAAUCGAGUGAAUCGAUGAAGAGAUUGGCAAUUCCCGGCAACGGAGAGAAGCGGAGGGCGGUUUUAAAGGGGAAUGUUGCCGUUGCUGGCAGUUCAUGCGGUGGCCGAGUACUAUAGGCUGCCUUGGAAGCCACCUCUCAGUGUAGGGCUUCUUGCUGCCAACGCUCUCAUCUAUUUAAGGCCUGCUUUCCUCCAUCGUAUCCUCCCUUCUAUUCAUGCGGUCUGGUUCAAUCCCUACCUCAUUUUCAAGGGUCUCAUCUGGGCCACCUUGGGGGAAUACUUGUUGGAAUUCUCUAUUUGAAGUUGAAAGGAUUAUAUUCAGGUCUAGACCCAUUGACUUGAAUAACAAAAAAAUGUUAUAGGCAUAUUAAGCUGACCUUUAAAGUUUAUGAGAGGCUUAUUCAGACUAAGGCAGCGGUGGAUUUCUAGUAGGGGAACUAUGGGUGACAAUCAGGCAAGAAGGACGGUAUCAAGGGUAUGGAGGAGUCAAGUAUGUACAUUUGAUAAUUCUGUUUGGUUAACUGUAUAUGAAACGUAUGGGAC